rnacentral:lncRNA from 1 species
UGAGGAAAUUAGAAAAGAUGCCAGAAAACCAUACGGCAACAGAGGGAGAUGAAAUGCGUGGCUUCCCUGGGAGACAAAGAAAGGGAAAGUGCUGGGUUCUCAAGGCCCGUUUAAUGAUCAGCCCUUUAUGCCAUAAGAUCCAAGGCAACAGUAUUUAGACGUCUCAUUCUGACCAAAUGCUACCUGGCCUUUUUCAAUUUCCAAUGGAGGACGUUAAGAAGGAUAUGUGUUGUAGGAGAAAAUGAUCCAGGUUACACUUUCUGCUGGUUGUAAUUGGAAAGAGCUAUUGAGCUCAAAGAAAACUACAAGAACAGCCCUUAAUUGGUGCUCCAUUUGUAAGGGAGGAGACAGGGGAAGAAUUGUCGUGAUACAAGAGGGUGCAGAAGAUUCAAGAAGAUACCAAGUAGCUGGAGGAGGCUGAAAUUUUGCUGAUGAAAAUCAAAUGAGAUAUAAUGUGGAGGACAUGGACAGAUGGUUUCAAGAGGAAGAUGAAGGGACAUUGGACAUCUGUGUCACCUAUGAAGAGAAUGCUGCUGUACAGGAAGAUCAAGUGUUUUCCUUGAGACGACCCAAGGAACUCAAACCCUGCUCCGUGUUUAUUGCUCUUCUAGACUCACUUGCUAUAACGCCUAGGCAACACGAAAGACAGGAAAUAAAAAAACUUAAAAGUGUGAAAUGCAAACCAAUUUAAUAAGAGUAUGUAUAGAGAAAUGAAUCCACUGAAUGAAGUUUAUGCAGCUUUUUAUAAACUGGAUCUUUUCUUCUGACUGCUUCAGGAAAUUAACAAAGUAAGUACUGCUAAAUGGAUUUAAUUUUCCAUUCAAAUUUCCUAAAUGAGAAAGGAACUAAAAUAUGCAGCUGGAUUUUUUUAAAAAAUAACCAGUUAUGCAUGUAAGUCAGGUUCAAAUACAUGCAAAUAUGAUUUGACUCUGCCAGGCCAGGAAAGAAAGAAUAGGAUUAAGGUGAGUCUGAGAGAGCGGAGAGCUGUGAAGCCCCUUAUUAUGGUGGGAUGUCUCACCUCGUCAAGGUAUAUAAAGGGAAGAAAUGGAGGUGAGAAGAGGAUCAUGUGGGAAUGAUGGACAUUUCAACUCCCUCUGCCCCCACACAGCUCCUUGAUGAGUUUUGAAAGACAAUGAUCUUUGUCCAUAAAAGUUUCUUCAUGUCAACUGCUGUUUGUGCAAGAAUCCUUGGACUUUAGCCAGCCCGGCAAAGUGUCUUAUAGGAGGCAGAGAGGGAGGGAGGAAAGGGAAGGAAGAGAGAGAGAGAGAACGAGACGGGGUGAGAGAGGGAGAAAGAGAGAGAGAUUUUCAGUUAUUUCCCUGUUAAGGCAUGGCUUGAAAAACAAUAGUAACUUCUACUAUUUAUAUUUUUCUCUGAUACCAAAGCAAUAUAUGCUCAUUGCACAAAAUAAGGAAAUUUUAAAAAAGUACACCAAAUAAAAUCAAACUCACCGUAUAAUUCUCUCA